rnacentral:rRNA from 1 species
GGAAUAGUUGCAGUCGAGAUUCCUACGGGAGGCAGCAGCUAAGAAUCUUCCGCAAUGGGCGAAAGCCUGACGGAGCGACGCCGCGUGGACGAAGAAGGCCGGAAGGUUGUAAAGUCCUUUUCCUGGGGGAGAAUAAUGCGGGGAGGGAAUGCCCUGCAGAUGACGUGAACCAGGGAAUAAGCCCCGGCUAAUUACGUGCCAGCAGCCGCGGUAACACGUAAGGGGCGAGCGUUGUUCGGAUUUAUUGGGCGUAAAGGGCGUGUAGGCGGUAGUGCAAGUCUGGUGUGAAAGGCCCCGGCUCAACCGGGGAAGCGCGCUGGAAACUGUGCUGCUAGAGUUUAGGAGGGGAAGCUGGAAUUCCUGGUGUAGGGGUGAAAUCUGUAGAGAUCAGGAAGAACACCGGAGGCGAAGGCGAGCUUCUGGCCAUAGACUGACGCUGAGGCGCGAAAGCGUGGGGAGCAAACAGGAUUAGAUACCCUGGUAGUCCACGCUGUAAACGAUGUGCACUAGGUGUUGGGGGUAUGAACUCUCGGUGCCGGAGCUAACGCGUUAAGUGCACCGCCUGGGGAGUACGCCGGCAACGGUAAAACUCAAAGGAAUUGACGG